ACGAAUUAAAAGGAUACCGUGUUAUGACGCUUCCUGUUAGCUCGAAUUUUUUCGCAUUUCUAUAACAGAUGCAUGUGAACGCAGCUGAUACGGCAUCUGAUCGCGUAGCAUUCAUUACAUUGCAAAUGAAUAGUAGAUUAGCAGUGAAGAGGUAAUCGAGACUUUGGUGGAACAACCAGUAUGCAGAAGCAACUAAUGAUCAUGAUAAGGUAGGACCUGGAUGACACAUGACGACUCUGCAUUCUGAUUCGUACUAGACCUGGCUCCUCCUUGUGGACAUGAAUGGCACAAUCUCCUUCAAUAUGUUCCUGGGCAUAGCUUGGGGAUAAUUUCAGCUGGUACGUGCCACAUGUCAGAGACCUCAGUUGCUCUUCAUCCAGGUUUGGAAAGUCAGUGAUAUCAUCCAUUUCCUCCCAACAAGCUGAUCGUCUUUCCAAUUUGUUUUCUUCAACAUGCUGCCGAAGGGUGUUGAUUUGCUUUGAUAAGUAAAUCAUUUUUGUACCAAGGAUCUGGUCAUCUUCAGCAUUACCAUUAGAAAUACUUUUCAAGAUUUCAUUGUGAGAUGCAUGUUUAUUUGCAAGUUAUUGGAAUUGAUUAUAAUAUACCUGUUACUGAUGGCACAAACAAUCCUAACAAAAUCUCCAAUGUACGGAACCUGGCUCGUUGGCAGGAUUUUCCCAAGUUGACAUCUGCCUGUCUCCAUGAGCCAUAAAGGAUGGCAUCUGUGCCUUGAUACCUAGUUCCUCCAAGUAAUCCAAGGAGUCUCUGAAACCACGGUCCACCACAAAUACAUCAUCCUCGCAAACCCAUCCCUGUGUUUUGGGCAGCAACGAGCUCCAGCAGGAAUUAUGACUUCUUUGGUGAUAAAGAUUCGAUGACGAAAUCCCACUGGAACCACAACUAGCUUUGGUCCUGGCCUUUUGCAGAUGCAACAUGCAGCAUGUCCUCUUGAUGUGCAAGGAAAAGGAAGAGUUACUGAUGGUGGACUGAACUGAGGUGUUAAAGUUGUAGAUGAUGUUGAUGGUGCGGAUUCACCUUGACAAUCUGUCGUGCUCGCCAUGCUAUGACCUUUGCGUUUUAUGUGACGUGCACACAUGCACCUACAUCUGUUGCAUAAGAAGUCAUCGUCACCUGGUGUUCUCCCAGAUAGUUUGGAGAUAACGACUCUGUAUUUUCUUGCAAUGCUGUAUCUGUCUUUCUGUCGUACCACGCGUGGACAAUUACAACAGUUGUAAGAUUUCUUACCAGGCAUCUGAAAUGUCAAAUAAAAUCUGUUUCAUUUUA